CGUGGUAAUAUUCAAAAGAAAGCGGUUAUAGGCAGGAUGAACAGACAGUGGCAUAAAAGUCGCGAUUUUUGAAGAUCCGUCAGACUGUAUGGUUGCAGAGUUAUAGAAUCUUUUGCAAAGAACAAGUCCCUGAACGUGAAAAGAGUUAAAGAUGAAGUGUCUAGUCUUUUUGCUACUGAUUUGUGCAGUUUUUGUAGCGUAUUCAAACGCUCGAAGAUACGACGAAGACGAGGACGAGAAUUCAGAGGAGGACCAAUUCGAGGACAUGCAAGAGGAGGGGUUAGAAAACAGAGAUCAGAUGAAGAAAGACCUUGUCAACCUUGUGGCCCGUCAGCCCGGUGAACGUCGCCGUCGUUGGGGCAAGUAAUUGGACCAUCAACUGUUUGGACACGUCACUGGCAUGGGCGCAGUAGUGGAACUAUUACCUUACAUUAGCGCAGACUUUACAUCUUCUCUUUUUUUUCUCUAUAGCUAUUGCCAAGUAGCCCAGUUAUGGACAUGCUCAUACGUCCUGUGCUUGAUUAAUUUGUAUGCUUGCUUUGUGAAUGAAUUUAUCUUGGA